UGGGGAAUCUUGCACAAUGGGGGAAACCCUGAUGCAGCGACGCCGCGUGAGCGAUGAAGCCCUUCGGGGUGUAAAGCUCUUUCGACAGGGACGAUUAUGACGGUACCUGGAGAAGAAGCUGCGGCUAACUACGUGCCAGCAGCCGCGGUAAUACGUAGGCAGCAAACGUUGUUCGGAGUUACUGGGCGUAAAGAGUACGUAGGCGGUUUGCCAAGUUUGGUGUGAAAUCUCCCGGCUUAACUGGGAGGGUGCGCCGAAAACUGGCGAGCUUGAGUGUGGGAGAGGGAAGCGGAAUUCCUGGUGUAGCGGUGAAAUGCGUAGAUAUCAGGAGGAACACCGGUGGUGUAGACGGCUUCCUGGACCACAACUGACGCUGAGGUACGAAAGCGUGGGUAGCAAACA
rnacentral:rRNA from 1 species